rnacentral:lncRNA from 1 species
AUGAGCCCCAGCCUGUGUGGGGCCCCAUGUGUGGUCCUCCCAUGCCUCCCGAGGCAGCACUCAGGCUGUGGGCAGCUCUGGCAUCAGUGGAGCAUGAGCCUGGCUCUCCCGCAGCAGCAGGGUCUCCGUCCUGGCUUGUGUCAUGCCCAGCCUCCCCCAGGUGACUGUGCUCUGCUUCCCAGCUACCAAGCCCUGAUGGGCCAUGUGGCCCCACCCCUGCCCUGCGGUUGGCCCUUCUGUGUGGUGGGCAGGGAUGACAGUGGUGUCUGCCACCCUCUCAGUGCCGCCUCCUGGGCUCCUGAGAGCUGUGAGCCCCGUCUUGGCCCCUGCUUCACCCAGAGGCUGUGGACUACACAGCCCAGGCACGUCCCCAAGGGAACUCUAGGGACCUGGCUGGCCCCUUGUGGGCUCCUGAAUGACAGGAGCCUGGAUUCCCAGACUGGUGAGGAUGGACCCCACCCACCCCCAAGAGCACACUCCUUCCCCGAUGUGAGCCUCAGGCACCAGGGCCACGGCCAGGGGUCAGGGCCACUGCUGAGGGCUGUGGCGGAGCAGGCACUGGGCUGUGAGCCCUGUGGCCACAGCGGCUCGGCAAUCUGGCAGAGUCCUGACGAAAGUGCUGGGAUCUGUGCCCCUGUCCCUGACUGGAGAUGGAGACAGGCAGCCUGGCGAGGUGCUAAGUGCCCCAGAGCCCGCGUCCUGACUCUGCCACCCCAGGCUCUGCUGUGGGGUCGGAGUGAGCCUGACUUCCAGGGCCCAGCCUCAGAGUCUAGAGAAAUGAUUUUACUUGGGCUGAGGGGUGGGGGGACACAGGUGCCACAGAGCAGGUGUGGUCAGACCGGGUGUGGUCAGCAGGAGGUAUGGUCAGGUGGGUGUGGUCAGAAGGAGGUGUGGUCAGGUGGGUGUGGUCAGCAGGAGGUGUGGUCAGGUGGGGUGUGGUCAGCAGGAGGUGUGGUCAGGUGGGGUAUGGUCAGCAGGAGGUGUGGGCCUUCCCGCCCACAGCACUGGCUCUGUUACUGGAAAGAUCCUUCCUCCUUACUGUGGCUGAAGUGA